UACGGAAUGUGCAACCGUUAUUCGGAAUCACUGGGCUUAAAGAGUCCGUAGGCGGCUUGUUAGGUGAGGUGUGAAAGCCCUCGGCCCAACCGAGGAAUUGCGCUUCAAACCGGCAAGCUAGAGGAGGAUAGAGGUGGGCGGAACUGAUGGUGGAGCGGUGAAAUGCGUUGAUAUCAUCAGGAACACCGGAGGCGAAGGCGGUCCACUGGGUCAUUUCUGACGCUGAGGGACGAAAGCUAGGGGAGCGAACGGG
rnacentral:rRNA from 1 species